GGAGGAGCACUGGGUGGGGAAUCCCAGCUUUGGCUCCUGGCUGGUGCCCUCCAUCACACUGCCUGCUCCAUAGCCUGUCUGUGGCUGGAGCAGCAAGCCUGCCUCCCAGUGGGCCGCUCUGAGGGCUGCGCUGGGCUAGGGCUGAGAAGA